rnacentral:rRNA from 1 species
GCGGAGGGAUCAUUGCUGGAACGCGCUUCGGCGCACCCAGAAACCCUUUGUGAACUUAUACCUUACUGUUGCCUCGGCGCAGGCCGGCCCCUCCCACGGGGCCCCUCCGGAAGGAGGAGCAGCCCGCCGGCGGCCAACUAAACUCUUGUUUCUUAGUGAAUCUCUGAGUAAAAAACAUAAAUGAAUCAAAACUUUCAACAACGGAUCUCUUGGUUCUGGCAUCGAUGAAGAACGCAGCGAAAUGCGAUAAGUAAUGUGAAUUGCAGAAUUCAGUGAAUCAUCGAAUCUUUGAACGCACAUUGCGCCCUCUGGUAUUCCGGAGGGCAUGCCUGUUCGAGCGUCAUUUCAACCCUCAAGCACUGCUUGGUGUUGGGGCACCGCCUGUGAAAGGGCGGGCCCUGAAAACUAGUGGCGAGCUCGCCAGGACCCCGAGCGUAGUAGUUUAUAUACUCGUUACUGGAAGGCCCCGGCGGUGCACUGCCGUUAAACCCCCAACUUAUGAAAUUUUGACCUCGGAUCAGGUAGGAAUACCCGCUGA